rnacentral:rRNA from 1 species
UACGUAGGGUGCGAGCGUUAAUCGGAAUUACUGGGCGUAAAGCGUGCGCAGGCGGUUUGCUAAGACCGAUGUGAAAUCCCCGGGCUUAACCUGGGAACUGCAUUGGUGACUGCAUCGCUAGAGUAUGGCAGAGGGGGGUGGAAUUCCACGUGUAGCAGUGAAAUGCGUAGAGAUGUGGAGGAACACCGAUGGCGAAGGCAGCCCCCUGGGCCAAUACUGACGCUCAUGCACGAAAGCGUGGGGAGCAAACAGG